rnacentral:rRNA from 1 species
GUGGUUUAAUUCGAUGAUACGCGAGGAACCUUACCUGGGCGUAGAACGACAUUCGGAAUCAGGCCGAAAGGCCUGCGCCAGCGAUGGCCGCUUGCGAGGUGCUGCAUGGUUGUCGUCAGCUCGUGCCGUGAGGUGUCGGGUUAAGUCCCAUAACGAGCGCAACCCCUACUGCUAGUUGCCAGCGGGUCAUGCCGGGGACUCUAGCGGAACUGCCAGCGUAAGCUGCGAGGAAGGUGGGGAUGACGUCAAAUCAGCACGGCCCUUACGUCCAGGGCUACACACGUGUUACAAUGGCCGGUACAGAGGGCAGCCACCCCGCGAGGGGGCGCGAAUCCCGAAAGCCGGUCCCAGUUCGGAUCGGAGUCUGCAACCCGACUCCGUGAAGCUGGAUUCGCUAGUAAUCGCGCAUCAGCCACGGCGCGGUGAAUACGUUCCCGGGCCUU